rnacentral:lncRNA from 1 species
UCCUCUUUUCCUUUCCUUUCCCAUAGCACAUAUUCACACUUCCAGAAGAAGUAUCCCUCCCAUCUCCUUUGAGUCUUCUUUCUUCAGAGAUGAGCGUGCUGAUAACUUCUGAAAGAUCCACCUGCUCCUUCCCAUGAGCAAUAUUGGAUUCAUGUGCGCAAAAGACAAAGGAAGAGACCAGACGAGCCUUAAGGCUUGAUCCCCCUCA